rnacentral:rRNA from 1 species
CCGGCACGGGUGAGUAACACGUAUCCAACCUGCCGUCUACUCUUGGACAGCCUUCUGAAAGGAAGAUUAAUACAAGAUGGCAUCAUGAGUCCGCAUGUUCACAUGAUUAAAGGUAUUCCGGUAGACGAUGGGGAUGCGUUCCAUUAGAUAGUAGGCGGGGUAACGGCCCACCUAGUCUUCGAUGGAUAGGGGUUCUGAGAGGAAGGUCCCCCACAUUGAAACUGAGACACGGUCCAA